rnacentral:rRNA from 1 species
AUUGAACGCUGGCGGCAGGCUUAACACAUGCAAGUCGAGCGGAGAUGAGGUGCUUGCACCUUAUCUUAGCGGCGGACGGGUGAGUAAUGCUUAGGAAUCUGCCUAUUAGUGGGGGGACAACAUUCCGAAAGGAAUGCUAAUACCGCAUACGUCCUACGGGAGAAAAGCAGGGGAUCUUCGGACCUUGCGCUAAUAGAUGAGCCUAAGUCGGAUUAGCUAGUUGGUGGGGUAAAGGCCUACCAAGGCGACGAUCUGUAGCGGGUCUGAGAGGAUGAUCCGCCACACUGGGACUGAGACACGGCCCAGACUCCUACGGGAGGCAGCAGUGGGGAAUAUUGGACAAUGGGGGGAACCCUGAUCCAGCCAUGCCGCGUGUGUGAAGAAGGCCUUAUGGUUGUAAAGCACUUUAAGCGAGGAGGAGGCUACUGAGACUAAUACUCUUGGAUAGUGGACGUUACUCGCAGAAUAAGCACCGGCUAACUCUGUG